AGCUCCAGAAGCGUAUAUUAAAGUUGUUGCAGUUAAAAAGCUCGUAGUUGGAUUUCUGGUCCUGUAUGCCUGGCCCGCCGCGUCAAGCGUGUGAGUGCCGGUUCGCGUGCGGACCAUCCUUCCGGGUAACGCGCCUGCCCUUCACUGGGCCGGGCGCGCGCCCCGGAUCGUUUACUUUGAAAAAAUUAGAGUGUUUAAAGCAGGCUUGUGCUGUGAAUACAUUAGCAUGGAAUAAUAAUCUAGGACUUUGGUUCUAUUUUGUUGGUUUCUGGGACCGAAGUAAUGAUUGAUAGGGAUAGUUGGGGGUGCUAGUAUUCAGCGGCCAGAGGUGAAAUUCAUGGAUUCGCUGAAGACUAACUUAUGCGAAAGCAUUCACCAAGGAUGUCUUCUUUAAUCAAGA
rnacentral:rRNA from 1 species